GAUGAACGCUGGCGGCGUGCCUAAUACAUGCAAGUCGAGCGAAUGGAUUGAGAGCUUGCUCUUAUGAAGUUAGCGGCGGACGGGUGAGUAACACAUGGGUAACCUGCCCAUAAGACUGGGAUAACUCCGGGAAACCGGGGCUAAUACCGGAUAACAUUUUGAACCGCAUGGUUCGAAAUUGAAAGGCGGCUUCGGCUGUCACUUAUGGGUGGACCCGCGUCGCAUUAGCUAGUUGGUGAGGUAACGGCUCACAAAGGCAACGACGCGUAGCCGACCUGGGAGGGUGAUCGGCCACACUGGGACUGAGACACGGCCCAGACUCCUACGGGAGGCAGCAGUAGGGAAUCUUCCGCAAUGGACGAAAGUCUGACGGAGCAACGCCGCGUGAGUGAUGAAGGCUUUCGGGUCGUAAAACUCUGUUGUUAGGGAAGAACAAGUGCUAGUUGAAUAAGCUGGCACCUUGACGGUACCUAGCCAGAAAGCCACGGCUAACUACGUGCCAGCCGCCGCCGUAA
rnacentral:rRNA from 1 species